AUACGGAGGAUCCGAGCGUUAUCCGGAUUUAUUGGGUUUAAAGGGAGCGUAGGCGGACGCUUAAGUCAGUUGUGAAAGUUUGCGGCUCAACCGUAAAAUUGCAGUUGAUACUGGGUGUCUUGAGUACAGUAGAGGCAGGCGGAAUUCGUGGUGUAGCGGUGAAAUGCUUAGAUAUCACGAAGAACUCCGAUUGCGAAGGCAGCCUGCUGGACUGUAACUGACGCUGAUGCUCGAAAGUGUGGGUAUCAAACAGGAUUAGAUUCCCUGGUAGUCCACACAGUAAACGAUGAAUACUCGCUGUUUGCGAUAUACAGUAAGCGGCCAAGCGAAAGCGUUAAGUAUUCCACCUGGGGAGUACGCCGGCAACGGUGAAACUCAAAUGAAUUGACGGGG
rnacentral:rRNA from 1 species